rnacentral:rRNA from 1 species
AUUGAACGCUGGCGGCAGGCCUAACACAUGCAAGUCGAACGAGUGGCGGACGGGUGAGUAAUGUCUGGGAAACUGCCUGCUGGAGGGGGAUAACUACUGGAAACGGUAGCUAAUACCGCAUACCAUCGGAUGUCCCCAGAUGGGAUUAGCUAGUAGGUAGGGUAAGGGCUCACCUAGGCGACGAUCCCUAGCUGGUCUUAGAGGAUGACCAGCCAAACUGGAACUGAGACACGGUCCAGAUUCCUACGGGAGGCAGCAGUGGGGAAUAUUGAACAAUGGGCUCAAGCCUGAUGCAGCCAUGCCGCGUGUAUGAAGAAGGCCUUCGGGUUGGAAAGUACUUUCAGCGGGGAGGCGUUACCCGCAGAAGAAGCACCGGCUAACUCCGUGCCAGCAGCCGCGGUAAUAC